rnacentral:rRNA from 1 species
CCUACGGGUGGCAGCAGUAGGGAAUAUUGCUCAAUGGGGGAAACCCUGAAGCAGCAACGCCGCGUGGAGGAUGAAGGUUUUCGGAUUGUAAACUCCUUUUGUUAGAGAAGAUAAUGACGGUAUCUAACGAAUAAGCACCGGCUAACUCCGUGCCAGCAGCCGCGGUAAUACGGAGGGUGCAAGCGUUACUCGGAAUCACUGGGCGUAAAGAGCGCGUAGGCGGGAUAGCAAGUCAGAUGUGAAAUCCUAUGGCUUAACCAUAGAACUGCAUUUGAAACGGUUAUUCUAGAGUAUGGGAGAGGUAGGUGGAAUUCUUGGUGUAGGGGUAAAAUGCGUAGAUAUCAAGAGGAAUACUCAUUGCGAAGGCGGCCUGCUAGAACAUAACUGACGCUGAUGCGCGAAAGCGUGGGGAGCAAACAGGAUUAGAUACCCCGGUAGUC